rnacentral:lncRNA from 1 species
CCUUUUUCUAUUUUCCUGCAAAAAAAAAAAACUUGAAUCAUACAUUAGGGUUUGCACUGGUAUAUGCAAGGUAGAAGAUCUCUCUAUCCUGACCUAGUUAAACCCAAUCUUGAGAUUGAACGGUUGAUUCAUAUUAAACCUGAAAAUCAGAUGGCUGGAGAUCCUAGAGAACCACCUAGGCAGAUGAAGGAAUAUUUUAUUCCUUCCAUUUAUAACCCAUCAACUUGUAUCCACUUACCUGAUAUCCCUGCAAGCCACUAUGAGAUCAAGUCGACCAC